rnacentral:rRNA from 1 species
GACGUGAGGGGCAAGCAUUAUUUGGUUUUAUUAGGCGUAAAGCGUUUGUAGAUUAAUUUGCUUGUUGUUUUUUUAAAGGGUAAGGCUUAACUUUACUUUGCAAAAUAAUACAGUUUUUUUUGAGUUGUCCUAGGGGAAAAUAGAAUUUUUUGCGGACAGGUAAAAUUGAUUGAUUUCAAAAAGGGAUAUCAAAAACGAAAAGUAGUUUACU